CACGGGGGGAGCAAGCGUUGUUCGGAAUCACUGGGCGUAAAGCGCGCGCAGGCGGACUGAUCAGUCUGGGGUGAAAUCUCACGGCUCAACUGUGAGCGGUCCCUGGAUACUGUCAGUCUUGAGAUGUCUAGAGGAGAGCGGAAUUUCCGGUGUAGUGGUGGAAUGCGUAGAUAUCGGGAAGAACACCAGUGGCGAAAGCGGCUCUCUGGGGACCAUCUGACGCUGAGGCGCGAAAGCGUGGGGAGCGAACCGG
rnacentral:rRNA from 1 species